UAUAGUCCACGUUGGCUUAAUGGAAGAGAUUGGAGCAUCAUGUGUAUCGUUAUAUAUCAGAAUUUUAUACUUCCAAUUAGUGAAAAGAGAUAUCAGUCACUUUUUUCGUUUUGUUGAGCCAAUUUGGUUAUCAAAUGUUGGAUCCACUGAAGAAGAACGAGUUGAAUGGGUAUCAAAGCGUAUGAUUGAUUCAAAUCCGGGUCAGAUGUGGUUGUUGCCAUAUCAUAAGGGAUGAAAUCAAAUCUCUCAUUUCUCGUGUCUUUCAAC